GGUCCUAUAGUCUAGUGGUUAGGACGUUGGAUUUUGAUGAACCAUCGAAACUACUUCCGAAGUCCCCGGUUCGAACCCGGGUAGGACCU
rfam:Fusarium poae strain 2516 chromosome FPOA_2 Chr2, whole genome shotgun sequence.